UGGGGAAUUUUGCACAAUGGGGGAAACCCUGAUGCAGCGACGCCGCGUGAUUUAGAAGGCCUUCGGGUUGUAAAAAUCUUUUCUAUGGGAAGAAAAUUACAGUACCAUAGGAAUAAGGACCGGCUAUUACGUGCCAGCAGCCGCGGUAAUACGUAAGGUCCGAGCGUUGUCCGGAAUCAUUGGGCGUAAAGGGUACGUAGGCGGGUAAGCAAGUUAGAAGUGAAAUCCUAUAGCUCAACUAUAGUAAGCUUUUAAAACUGCUCAUCUUGAGGUAUGGAAGGGAAAGUGGAAUUCCUAGUGUAGCGGUGAAAUGCGCAGAUAUUAGGAGGAAUACCGGUGGCGAAGGCGACUUUCUGGCCAUAACCUGACGCUGAGGUACGAAAGCGUGGGUAGCAAACAGG
rnacentral:rRNA from 1 species